GCCAUGAUGGCCGAGUGGUUAAGGCGUUGGACUUAAAAUCCAAUGAGCACAUGCUCACGUGGGUUCGAACCCCACUCCUGGUA